GGAUGUGAGGGAGAUCUGGCUGUGACAUCUGUCACCCCAUUGAUUGCCAAGGUGAUUCGGCUGGUCUGGCUGGCUAGGUGGGUGUUCCCUUCCUCUCUCACUGCUCCAAGUGCAUCCCUCCUGAAGCUGCACGCUCGGUCGAAGAAGAUGGCCUUCCCCGAAUAGAGACCGACUGGUCUUUGGUCCAGGGUGUAUGAGUAGCUGCACUCCCCUCCUAGAACCUCCAAACAUGCUCUCAUACUGUGAUACUAAAUAAAAUAUCAUUCAACCAAAAAUUAAUUUGGAAGAUUUCUAACUUUCUUA
rnacentral:snRNA from 1 species